rnacentral:lncRNA from 1 species
GCAGGAAGAUGUAUUUAUUUUAUUUAACUUUCUUAUACAUAGACAUCAAACAUCCCAUCUUUAGCCUGGAGCUAACCCGCAUAAUAUGUUUACGAGUCUGCCUCUUACUGAGGACAAAAUUGAGACUUUGUGGAAGAAGCUGCAUUUUAGGCCUCAUACUUAGAAGAAAUAUUCUUCUGAAAGUGGAAAUCAAGUAGCUGAGCAGGAGUGUUUGCCCAAGCCAGCCUCUCUGAGGAAGUAUGAAUUUCCUUGUCCCAUUACUCUCAUUCAGGAGUUAAUUCUCAGUUGUAAUGUAUGGACCAGUAAUCUGCUACCUCUUUUUUUUAUAAGCACAGGAAAGUGUAAGAGGCAUAGCUCACAAAUGAACAGAAGGAGUGCAGAGGGAAUCAGCAAUUGUCUCUUGGGAGAAGAAGAAAAGACAUGAAAGGGACCGCAGUAAAGCAAAAGCUGCCAUUUCGCUCCAGUACAAAUGAUCUAGCCCCAGAAACCCUGCUGUUAACCAGCACAACCUUCAUGCAGGAUGAAAAUAGAUCUAAGAAGAGUGACACGUUCAGGUGUAAGUUCAGUGUUUCUCUUAAUAGUGCUCAAGAGUCUGAAGAAAGAACCUACAUUGAAAGGGGCGCCUUAAUAUCUCUGGCUGCUGUAUUGAUUGCAUGGGCUUGCAGACAACCGUAGCUUCAGGAUAUGAAAAGUAAGAUUUUGUUGUGUUUAGAAAGAGGCUCUUUUAGGAUGGAGCGAGACACCCUCCCUGCUUCCCCUGUGUGUUGUCAUGAGACGUGACAAAGUGUAUGGAUACAAGCAUGUACACCGCCAAGUGCAUGAAGUCGCCCCCCCUCAGAUUCACACACCUUGGGACUGAUCCUGAGCAAGAAAAUCCUGUUUUGCUCUAACUGCCUCUUUGGACUAUGCUCUGUUUUUCAGUGUGCACUAUUUAUAAUAAAAAUGAGUAAGGAAUUUGUGGAAAUGGAACU